CUCUCCACCACACGAUUUCACCCUCUCCACGCGCGGUCUCCGCGCAAAGAAUACGCCUCAUCACCCUCUCAACCCGAGCCUCGCUCCUCCUCGCGUCGUCGUCUCGUCCCAUUCUGCAGCCGCCGCCGCGGCACACUGAACCGAGGCGAGGUCUUCCCCAGCCACCGCCGGAGCCGUGGUCUUCCCCAUCCGUCGCGGCCGGCAGCAGCAGGAGCCGACGUCGUCCUCAUCUGCCGCCGCCGCUGCAAUCCACCGCUACCCUCGAGGUCGUCGCCUUCUUCCGCCGCCACACACUCCGCCGUCGCCGCCACGGAUUGAACCGGAGGCGAGGUCUUCCCCAGCCUCCCACGGAGCCGAGGUCUUCUCCAUCAGCCGCGCACUCCACCGUGAUUUCUCCGCCCAUCCGCUGCUCCAUCGUGAUUUCUCCGCCGCUGCAACCUCUGCCCCACCGAUCGCACCCCAUCGCAUCGCCGGUUCCUCGCGCUUGUUGCCGAGUCCGAGUCGAUCCGAUUGGUUCCUCCGUUGAGGUUGCCCCUGCCAGGAAGGCCAAGCCGAUCCAGCAUCUGCUCCACCUACUGGCCCCUCCCCGUUCUCUGCUCCUGACACCGUCGGACAUCAACCACAGGCCACCAGCAACUGCACCUGCACCUUGAUGCUCGCAUGAUUGUGAUGACACAUAAUCUCGAUCUGCAACUCACCGUCUCCAUUUUCUCAAGCCGGAACAUUGGGGACACUCCGUAUUAUGGCAGGAGCAGCGUGGAGUCAAAGCCCUGCUCCGUAGAGGGCUCGAGGCUGCGCGGAUCUGGCCGCUUCGGCCGCCCGGCCCACUCAACCGGCUUGCCUGCACCAUGAUUGCUCUCUCAGCAAUCGCCCGGCGACUCGCUUCCUCUCUUUGAACACAGCUGGGGUGUGCGACAUGGCUAUGGUGGAGGAUCUGCCCCCACCCAGGAACCCUCUACUUUGCAGAAGCAGAAGCGUUACUUGGCAUAUAUACUUUGCAGAAGCAGAAACACAACUUGGCGGUGGCUGGUUUAUUUAGCAAUCUCUAGUUGGCUUUGAUGGCCAGUGUGGUAAUUAAUUUCAGAAAUCUCCGAUUCUUGUUGACAAAUUUUUUUUUUGCAGGUUGAACAUGGUGAUUUCAGACAUUAAUCAAUGAUGGAUUAUCUGCUUGCCUAUUCUUUCUGUUACAUCAGUUGUGGGAUGUUUUUCUGUUAAAUUAAUCUAGGUUGCUCUCUUGAUCUGGUCUAGACAGAUCCUAAGCAAAGGUUGCAAUAAGGAAAACAAAAGGAAAAGAUGAACACUGUUUACUACAGCGGAAUCUUUGUGCUCUUUAUCCAAUCUGCAGAGAUGUGGGUACCAAGGAGUUGUAUUGUUAUGAAUAUUUGACUUCUUUAUUUUUCCAGUUUAUUGAUCAUCUUACAUAUUUAAUGAUGUUAUAAUAUUUAAUGAUGAAUAUCUUAAACACAGGGAAUAGGUCCCCAUCAUAGCAAUAAGCUUAUGUAUUAUGUUUAAAAAAACAAUUCUACAUGUGUAAAGCUUUGUGAUCUUAUAAGCAACUAGAGAGGUAAAAGCACAUGGUAAACCUGGGCUCUUAUUCAUACUUUUAACAUUUUGUAUUCAUUUUAACUGUAUUUUAAGUCGCUCUUAAAAUGGUCACAUGAUUCGCUUACUCUGAAUUAUUUUGUGGAAGUUUUCAAGAAUUUGGAUGCAGCUGCUCUAGGAAUUCAUCUCGGGUGGAGGGUAAACCUUCACUGUCAUUCAAGUCAACAAUACAUUCAUUAAUUGAAAAAAUGAUUUUUUAAUCCAUUCUGAACAGUGCAGAACUUUCUGAAUUAUCUAUCGGUGUUUAGUUGUUGAUUGUUGUUUUAUUGAGGGGUAUUAUUAAAUAUCAAAGCAUAUAGUUGUAGAUAAAGAAUCAAGUUUUAUGACUUGGUUUUAGUUAUACAUAUCUUUCUUCAAAGUUCAAAAAUAAAAAUUGUAACAUCGUAUCUACCUGGCACCUUAUCUUGCAAAAGUUGAGGCUGUUUACCGUCCUUAGAAAAAAAAAUGUUCUUCAGGUAUUGGAAGUAUAACAUUUGUAUUUGAUUUUACAAUGAGGGCACGAAACUCGCUUUCUGUUGGACUCAAACUGAACCAUUUUGGUUGAUACCCUAACAUUUUGCUCUACCAUAUAACUUAUUUCACUAUUGCAACUUUAUUUCAUAAAGAAAUUUCUGGAGUUUGGUGCAUAGCUGCUUGAAGGCUUACAAUUUGUUUAGUUGUGCUUACUAUUUGAAUUUAUUAUGUUCAAAGUAGUUUCAAAAUACUAAUGAUUCUUAGUUACUUUUGGGGAAAAAUCGGUUAUGCUCAUUCAAGAAUGUAUGUCUAACAACACAUGUGAUACUCUUUUCCAAAAAUUAUACAAAUACUUAUUCAGUUUGAGAGUAUUUCAAUGUUCCUAGUUUAGUUUUCAGUUUUUUCUCCAAGCAGUUAAUUUUGUUUUUUUUAAUGCAGCUCAAAAUAUCCAUGUCAACUUGAAGUUAUUGUGGAUUGCAGAUUGUGAAAAAAUUCCAUUACCAAGCAAGGAAUCAGAGAAAGCGCUCCAUCGACGCCUUGCCGGCGGCCAUGGGAACAGCCGUCCCUGCAUCAUCAGCUGCGGCAGAAACGGCCCUGCUUAGCUUUGCCUCGCCGUCAGCCAUGGGAAAUGCUGCUGCUUCACCAAGCAAAACAAAAAAAAUGCCAUAACAUCCUCGAUGACUUAUGCACGUCGUCCGCCGCCAGAACUGAUGCUAACCUCGGAGAAGCCCAGCGCCGGGGAAGACGUGAAGACGCCGAACACCGGAGGGGACGCUGCGUGCGCGUCACUGCCGAUGAGGACCGGCACCCUUGCUGCUCUUGGUUGCUUCUCUUGCUGGAUUUUGGGCUUUGAAAAAAGCAAACGGGUUCAGUUCGGAUCUUUUAGUGCGGGCCCUAUAUAACCAGCACAUCCGACGGCCAAGAAUUCAGCUGAUAACACAAAAAUAAACAGCCGGCUGACGGAUAGCAAAUCCCAAAAUGAUACUCCCUCGGUUUCAAGUCAUAAUACGGUCUGACUUUAACUAAAGUUAAACUGUUUUAGGUUUAACUAAGUUUGUAAAAAAUUAGUAACAUUUUUAACCCAAGACAAAUUUAUUAUGAAAAUAUAUUCAAUUAUUGAUUUGAUGAAA